rnacentral:misc_RNA from 1 species
UGUGGGAGCUGGCUUGCCUGCGAUAGCGGUGUAACAGCCACCUGAUGCAUCAACUGACAGGCUGCUAUCGCAGGCAAGCCAGCUCCCACA